AACCCUUUCGGCGCCCGCCGCCGGCGCAGACGGGCGGGGCUUCGGCCGCGGGUUCUCGGUCUUUCUGCCGCCCCAGGCUGGGUGCGGGAGGGCGUCGCCGGUACCGCCCCUCUUCCUGUCACCCUAGGGCGGCCUCUGGGCGACCGCGGUGUUGAUUCAGGGUCCUUGAUGUUGGAGGACACUGGCCGGGUGGGUCCCUUACGUCACGUCACAAGGCAGCCUGGGGGAGUCUGCGCUGCCGCCCUCCCUAGCAUGUGCUGGCUAGGAUGGUAGCCUACCUUUUGUAAGCCAAGCGCUACCUCCUAAGUGAGUCUACGCCCCACAAGUUGGAACAGGAACCAAUGCCCCUAUUAAGGAGGAAGAAACGCACUUUGGAAACGCUAAAUAUUUCCAGUAGCCCAAGAAGAACGGGUGAUGAAGCUGCAGCUGUCAUAGACACAAAGCAGGUGAGAUCUGACAACAGUGAGACUCCAUCCAGCCUUGCAGAAAACAUCUUGCUGAGCUGCACUUCAGUGUGUUACUCUGAGCUUUUGACUAGAACGGCCACUAGCAGCCUGCAGCCUAAGGAGUUACCUUUGUGCUGCAGUUGAAGACCUGCACUGCUGCAUCCUGAGGUGUCCUGGAGAACAUCUGGAGGGUCUGUGGGAGAUUUUAUUUUUUGAGGGCAGCACUGCCAUCUGUUGUAAUGUGUUUGAAACUACAGCUGUUAAGUUUGCAUCUACCUAAAUAUGGGCAAGUUUGAAACUCUCCUGAGACACUGACAAGGUUAGGCAGACACUAGGGCCUGACAACUUUCACUUUUUAGUUUCAGUUCUCCAGACUCAGCUCAAGACCUCUCCUGUCAGAACCAUCAAAAGAGGAAGCAGGGAUUGAUGAUCAUAUUUAAGAAGGUGUUCUGAUUAACUAAUGACAAGCCAUCUUGAGCAACUAUUUUUAAAAUGUAUAAGUUUUCCUUUCCAAUAACUAUGCUGGUGAACUGACACUGUUUCCAUUUUUAACCACAUCUCCAAUAUCAGAACAGUUCUGAUGUUUGUUCUCCCUCUAAGACAGAAAGCGUGAGGGUCCAUUGCUGUUGUUCUCAAAAUUUCUCAAUGUACCCCAAGAUUUCCCCUCUCGUUCUGACAGAGCUAAGGAGAAGGUCAGUGUGCCUGCUGGAUACUGGUAGGUUAAAAAGAUCAUAAUGCAAGAAGACUCUCACCCUUCAGUUUCUCUGAAUCUUGUUCUAUAUUUUCUCUCCAGGAAACCUGCUCCAAAUUCUGGUGCAGAUCUCAGUAAAAAGGUUUUUAUUAACAGGCUGAAGUGUUUCAAUUCACUGGAAUUGGCACACUACACAUUGGAGCCAAACUACCAUGGUUCAAGUCAUGCUCUGUCAAUGUUGACUAGUCUCUGAUCUCUAUUAUAUUAAGAAAGGUGAGGGCUGGAGAGAUGGCUCAGCAGUUAAGAACACUAACUGCUCUUUCAAAGGCCCUGAGUUCAAUUCCCAGCAACCACAUGGUGGCUCACAACCACCCAUAAUGAGAUCUGACAUCCUCUUCUGGUGGGUCUGAAUUCAACUACAGUGUACUUAUGUAUAAUAAAUACAUCUUUGGAUCAGAGUGAGCAGGGACUGAGAAAGCAGAGUUGACUGGAGCAAGCUGGGCCAAUCAGAGUGAGCAGAGGUCCUAAAAAUUUCAUUCCCAACAACCAUAUGAAGGCUCACAACCAUCUGUACAGCUACAUUGUACUCACAUACAUAAAAUAAAAAAAUAAAUAUUGAA
rnacentral:lncRNA from 1 species